AUGCCCACUUCAGCAGCACAUAUGCUAAAAUUGGAAUGACACAGAGAUUAGCAUGGCCCCUAUGCAAGGAUGACACACAAAUUCAUGAAGCAUGCUAUAUUUUU
ensembl:snRNA U6 U6 spliceosomal RNA